rnacentral:rRNA from 1 species
CGUAGGGAGCAAGCGUUGUUCGGAUUUACUGGGCGUAAAGGGCGCGUAGGCGGCGCGGUAAGUCACUUGUGAAAUCUCUGAGCUUAACUCAGAACGGCCAAGUGAUACUGCAGUGCUAGAGUGCAGAGAGGGCAAUCGGAAUUCUUGGUGUAGCGGUGAAAUGCGUAGAUAUCAAGAGGAACACCUGAGGCGAAGGCGGGUUGCUAGGCUGACACUGACGCUGAGGCGCGAAAGCCAGGGGAGCAAACGGGAUUAGAUACCCCGGUAGUCCUGGCCCUAAACGAUGAAUACUUGGUGUCUGGAGUUCUAAUACUCCGGGUGCCGCCGCUAACGUUUUUAGUAUUCCGCCUGGGGAGUACGCUCGCAAGAGUG